AUAUAUAUAUAUAUAUAGGCCAUGGCUACUAUACUAUUAUGAGUAUUGGAGCCCUUGUACUCAUAAGUUGUUUUCAAUGAUGGAGCUUCCGAAUUGACGAUCGACUCCAUUAAACAUGAUCUAGAGUAUUUGAAACUUCUAGACAAUAAAUUUCGUAAAUUUUCGAAAUCGUAAUAAAGUCCAUCAAGUGGGCAUAAAAUGAAAGGUCAAAAUCGAACGACAUCCUAAAAAAGGAUGAUCGGAUCCUUCAAUUCAAGAUCGGAGUUAUUGAUCUUUAUCUAUGUAGUGAAUAGAAUUUUCUAUCAAAAAUUCAACAAAUCUCGAUUCUUUUACACCGUUAAAUUAGCAAGUAUCUCAUACCAGCCGUUAAAAAUUGUCAAAUUUGUGACCUCUUGAUCGUAAGGUAAAUGAUGUCGAAAAGUUAUAAAAUUUGAUUUCUAGAAGUUUUAAAUGCUGUAAAUAACGUUUAACGGUGUGGAUCGUCGAUUCGGAAGCUCUAUCAUCGGAAACAACUUAUGAGUACGAGGGCGAUCGUACUCAUAAUAGUAUAGUAGCCGGACCCUAUAUAUAUAUAUAUAUAUAUAUGGAGAAAUGAGAUAAUUUAGAGUGUUUUAUUAAGAUAAUAUCAAAAUUAGAUGUCAAAAUAUAAGUUUCGAAAAGUAAGAU
rnacentral:lncRNA from 1 species